UACGUAGGGACCGAGCGUUGUCCGGAAUCAUUGGGCGUAAAGAGCGUGUAGGCGGCCACUUAAGUCCUGCGUGAAAUCUUGCGGCUCAACCGCAAGCGGUCGUGGGAAACUGGGUGGCUAGAGUGCGGGAGAGGAGAGUGGAAUUCCUGGUGUAGCGGUGGAAUGCGCAGAUAUCAGGAAGAACACCCGUGGCGAAGGCAGCUCGCUGGAACGUGACUGACGCUGAGACGCGAAAGCGUGGGGAGCAAACAGG
rnacentral:rRNA from 1 species